rnacentral:rRNA from 1 species
GACGAACGCUGGCGGCGUGCCUAACACAUGCAAGUCGAGCGAGAGACUUCGGUCUCUAGCGGCGGACGGGUGAGUAACACGUGGGUAACCUGCCUCAUAGAGGGGGAUAGCCUUCCGAAAGGAAGAUUAAUACCGCAUAUACUCUCGAUACCACAUGGUAUUUAGAGGAAAGGAGCAAUCCGCUAUGAGAUGGACCCGCGGCGCAUUAGCUAGUUGGUGAGGUAACGGCUCACCAAGGCGACGAUGCGUAGCCGACCUGAGAGGGUGAUCGGCCACAUUGGAACUGAGACACGGUCCAGACUCCUACGGGAGGCAGCAGUGGGGAAUAUUGCACAAUGGGCGAAAGCCUGAUGCAGCAACGCCGCGUGAGUGAUGACGGCCUUCGGGUUGUAAAGCUCUGUCUUUUGGGACGAUAAUGACGGUACCAAAGGAGGAAGCCACGGCUAACUACGUGCCAGCAGCCGCCGCCGUAA